GUGGGGCAGUGUAGAUGGAUCCCAGGGUGCCAUGCUGCCAGAAGAAACAAAAGAAACCUUGUAAUAUUGUGAGUGAGAGCCCACGGGCUGACUUGUGAGGGAGGAAAAAAAAAAGCGUUCAGCUCUGAGAUGUUUAUGAGAGGCCUUGGGAGGGAAAUCCAUCAUUGUGGAGAGAGCAAUUUAUGUCCAACACAAGAUAGUGACUGACAUCUCCCAUCCCACAAAGAGACUCUCUUGGCUUCAGUGCGUUGAAUUUGUCAGCCACGGCACAGGCCAUUGUUCAUUUGGGCAGACAACUGCAGUUGCUUAUUUUGCUCACAAACAGAUGAUUACAAGUUACUAAGUAAAAUGAUUUCAAUGAGGAUUGCGUGUGACACAGUCUGUUUAAAGCUACACAUUAUAACCCUCUGCAGUGGUGAGAGAUCUACCAAAAAGAUUGGAGUGAUCCGAACCAGCUGGCUGGCAGCCAAUUUAUCUCGGAGAAGAUGUGAAUGUGAGGGAGGUUCCUCUUGAAACGAUUCCAGCAGACAUCCUGAAAUGUGAUGAGGCCCACUGGGAGAAAACUAUGCUUUUUUUCCCCAAAGCUUGCCAGGGUCUGCCUGUCCAUCCAUCAAUGAGCAGUCCAGUAUCCUAAAAUGUACAAGGCUGUUGUUAGAAAUGUAAUGCUAGUUAAGAUAAAUGUUGAAUUAUGUUUCUUGUUUUUUAAAUUACAAUAUACUGGCAACUAAAGCAUGAUUAAGGCUUUUGUGGUUGGUGAUCAUCACAGGGACAUACCAGAAACUGGCAUACAGAUUAUGUAACCCAGAAAACACAACUGAACAAGGAUGAUGGAUCUCCAGCAUUCUGCUACUGUAUGCCAUAUCAAGUAAUGAAAGACAAGCACUGAGGGGAAAAUGGUACAACUCAAAAGUAUACUGUUUACUGUCGAAAACUUUUCCCCACUCACAAUAUUGUUCUGAUUGAUUUAGACUCAGUGAAUCAUUCCUGCACUGCUUACACUGCCAUUAUUGGCUGUGCAUUUUAAAGUAAUUUACAGGAACCAUUUGUCUCUGCAUUGAGGCUAUAGAGAGAGAGCUAAGCUUACUUGUGUGAGUAGGAGGAAGGUAACUAGCUGGAAAGAGCUGCUGCUGGACUCACAAAGGGAGGUUCAUCUUACUGGAGGCAGAAUGUAGCACUGCAGA